rnacentral:rRNA from 1 species
UACGUAGGGUGCAAGCGUUGUCCGGAAUUACUGGGCGUAAAGAGUUCGUAGGCGGUUUGUCGCGUCGUUUGUGAAAACUCACAGCUCAACUGUGAGCCUGCAGGCGAUACGGGCAGACUUGAGUACUGCAGGGGAGACUGGAAUUCCUGGUGUAGCGGUGAAAUGCGCAGAUAUCGAGAGGAACACCUGCGGCGAAGGCGGGUUGCUGGGCUGAUACUGACGCUGAGGAGCGAAAGCGUGGGGAGCAAACGGG